AUGCUUUUAUUAUUUUAUUGUUUCUUUAUAAAAAGGCAUAAAAAUCAACCCAUUUCUCCUAUAGUGGUCAGCCAAACUAGAAGAGAAGAGAAACCAAGGAAGAACAAGCCCUAGGAGGGAAAAAUCAAAGAGAAAGUGUUGGAAUUCAAGGAUUUGAUCAAGCAAAGGUAAAAUUUCUUUGAUUUUGCUAGUGAUUUUCCUUACCCAUGCAUUUUUCCUUAAUUUUCAUGGUUGAAAAGCAUGCUUUCAUGGUGAAUUCAUGGCUGGUUAAAAUAGGCAUGGAGAGAGAAUGANAAUUCAUGGCUGGUCAAAAUGGGUAUGGAGAGAGAAUGAUCUUGGAUUGGUUUGAUUUUUAGGUAUGUUAGUGUUUUUAGGUGAUUAAUGAUGUGUAGCAUGAAAACAAGUGAAGAAAACCACCAAAGGUUUGGUGCCCAUCAAUAGCCGAAUUCUCUAAGUGAAUAAUGAGAAAGAAUGGGAUGUUAUUCUAGGUGAUUUGAUUAAGAAAUAAUAGUUUUUGGUGAAUUGAGGAAUUGGAAAAGAAAUAGAGUAAGUUGGAGUGAAAUUGGACGCAUUGGCCAAUUUAUCGGAUAAAAAAUUGACUUAGGCCAAUACCGGGUCUAGAUGGCUACCCGUGCAUUUUUCAUUUCAUAUCACGCAUAUAUAUCGAGCCUAAAAUAGCUUAUGACUAUUAGACACAAUUUAAUUGGAAUAUGUGUCAUGGAUUAUGACUAAGUAGUGAGCCAUUGGAUACGGGUAAAGGACUGUACCCGUAGAUUGAAAAUAGGAGUAUUUCUACUCCUAAUACUGUGAGUGGACAAUUUAUCGUCUUAAAUAUCUAGAGUAAUUAUACUUGUUUGAUGCUUUUAUUGAAUGGUGAGUUUAAAUUAUAAAAUAUUAUGUUUUUCAAUUACAAUAUUUUUUUAAUAAAAAUAAGAUUUAUACUUGUUUUGAAAUCAAAUAUUGUUUUGGGAAAAUUGAGUAUAUGGAGACUGUGUUGAAUUUAUGAUUUUAUAUGUUUUUUAAAUUGUGGCUUAUGACACUAUGGUAGCAUGAUGGCUAAAUUUUUGGGGUUGACAUGAAAUAUAUGAAUAGUUUUGGAUUGGUCUCAGUAGACUAGAUUAAAUUUUAUUCACCAUAUUAUGCUAUUGAAACUUUUAUGGGUCUGGUGCUAUAUUAAAUGGUCACUGCAGUGGUGGGGGUUUCCAUGGACUGCCUAUGAGAGGGGCACGGUAACCAAAUUAUAUACUUACCUCCGAGGGGAGAUGUUGGACAAAGUAUCUCCUGAGGUAAGAUUUGAGUGCACCUCACGUUCGGGCCACCAUGUGAGAGUGAGACUCAGCCAACGCCAAGGAACGGUUGUGUGUCAGAUGCGAAAAUAUGUUUAUGGGUAUGGGACAUUUAACAGCCUUGGCAAUCUCAGUGGGAUACCUUGAUUAAGGUACCCGCGAGAAUGAUUCUUGCAGGGGCCAAGUUUAAGAAACUCAUAAGUCGGGGAAAUUUUGACGAAAAGAAAUUGUUUAGUAUAGAUUGAAACGAAUUUUGCAUUAUGAACAUUAUUGAGAUAUAACGUUUUUAUAUUAUCUCCAUCUACUCGGCUUUAGAUGCUUUUGAUGGUAAUUGUUUACUCACUGGGAUUAUGUAAUCUCACCCCUCUUCCUAUCCAUUUUUCAGGCUCAGGACAGUUUGUUGAUAGUUGAUUAAGAAGAGAAUUAAUCUCGGAGUUGCAUCCUAGAAAGUAAGGGUUCAUAGCCCUACACCUUCUUGGUCAAUUGGGGGCCCACGUGUCACUGUAACAGUAAUUUUAUACUUCAGUUAUCUUAUUUAAAGUAUGUAUGAACAUAUUUAGCUUUUACACCAUGUUUUUGGUAGGUUUCGAUAUUUUUGAAGAAAAAUGACGAAAAUGCCCCUAUAAGCUA
rnacentral:lncRNA from 1 species